GCGAAGGUGGCGGAAUUGGUAGACGCGCUAGCUGCAGGUGUUAGUGUCCUUACGGACGUGGGGGUUCAAGUCCCCCCCCUCGCACCA
rnacentral:tRNA from 2 species